rnacentral:rRNA from 1 species
CCCAGACUCCUACGGGAGGCAGCAGUGAGGAAUAUUGGUCAAUGGGCGAGAGCCUGAACCAGCCAAGUCGCGUGAGGGAGUACUGCCCUAUGGGUUGUAAACCUCUUUUGUCGGGGAGCAAAAGCCGGACGUGUCCGGCUGUGAGAGUACCCGAAGAAAAAGCAUCGGCUAACUCCGUGCCAGCAGCCGCGGUAAUACGGAGGAUGCGAGCGUUAUCCGGAUUUAUUGGGUUUAAAGGGUGCGUAGGCGGAAUGCCAAGUCAGCGGUAAAAUCGCGGGGCUCAACCUCGCUCCGCCGUUGAAACUGGCGUUCUUGAGUGGGCGAGAAGUAUGCGGAAUGCGUGGUGUAGCGGUGAAAUGCAUAGAUAUCACGCAGAACUCCGAUUGCGAAGGCAGCAUACCGGCGCCCAACUGACGCUGAAGCACGAAAGCGUGGGUAUCGAACAGGAUUAGAUACCCCCGUAC